rnacentral:lncRNA from 1 species
GAAUGGUAGGCAGAUUGGUUGGUUCCGCUUUUGGCACAGAUAAAGAUAAAGUGCUCACUUUUAAUGAAUAAUGCAUUAGGUACAUCAGAACCAUUUUAGCUCACUUCCUCUAGGUGAAAUAGGCCAACUGAGUAAGAAUACACACUGUUAGGACAUUCUUUUCUGAAAGAAAACCCCUGCAGUGUUUUUUUGUACUGCCUUCCAAUUACACGGGCAUUUUACCCUAAGUAUCUAUAUAUGUACCCAUGGAGUUCUUAUGUCUUUCUGUGAUCUCUUAGAAAGUUAUUGAAUCAGUUCAAGUAUCACAUGUUCAUUUUGAUGAAAUGUAUAUUACCAUUAACUUUUUGAAUUAUAUUUGUGUUACACUCAAAUCUAAUGAAAUUUUAAGUAAAAGUCUCAUGAUUUUAUGUGCCAAUUUAAGUAUAAAAUGAAAGGAAAAGUAUAAGAUAGAUGACAUUUGGAUCACCAUUAUUUUCAGAUGUGAUGUAGACAAUGGGAAAUAAUAAAUAUUUCACAAAUGACAACAUUAUGUUUUUCUGGUCUCAAAUUUCUUAUCUCACAUAGUUAAAAAAAAAAGGAAUAAUGCAAUCUCUUUCGCAAUAUCAGAGAAGAAAAUGUGAUUGCUAUUCUUCUACCUUUAAAUAUCAUUAGUAUAACCGAAUACUUUACAUCAAUGUGUUCUUUCAGAGAUGCUAGUCAUUUGCUAAAUUCCUAAAAUAUUUUAUUCCCAAAUUCUUUGGAUGCAUACAUAUUAUCAAAUCAUUUUGAAAGCUGCAAAGUGUAAUGCAAAACGUGAGCAAUCACUUUCAUCCUCUGCUCUGCCCUACCCCCCCCAAAACACAAACUAAUCUUAACUUGAUGUUUGAGAUAUAAAGAGCUUUGUAUGAUUUCCUGAAAAAAACGAUAUAGUUUUAGAGUCCCAGUGCAUGGCACUUAUGGUUAAGAUUACCUCCUAAUAGCAUUUUAAAUUCCACUGAAUAAAUAUGCUAGGAUGAGAUGAUGACUCCACUUUUUCUGAAUUGGUCAUCUGGUCCUAGAUGGUAAAUAAGCAGAAACAUGUAGUCUGAGGGUUUGCUUCUUUGUUUCCUGACAUCAGCACUUUAAAGAUUCUUGGCUAAAUUUCCUUCACUGCUAUUACCAAUGAGCUUGAUGAGCUUGAAUCUAGCAGGGUGGCUACUGUCAGGGGAGCAGUUUGGCUGUUUAAAGUUACAUAAAAUAAAACCUGUUUUGGCAAUAGAAAGGGAUGCGAUUGCUCAACAGUAAGCUUGCUUAAGCCUGAACAGACAGAAGGAAAGUAGAGCAGAGUGAUACACAGAUGAUGAUAAGCAACAGUUAGAGUCAAUGAUGGGUGGUCUGAUCUGAGGAGAAUUAAGGAAGCUAUUUGCAUCAGAUGUUGGAACAGUUAAGCCAUGCUUGAAAUCAGCAAAUGUUAUUGGAAGCUGCUUUAAAUAAUGUGAUGCAAUACAGAUAUUUUAUGUAUUUGCAAAGCCAGAUGGGAUAAGGAGUAAGAAUUUUAGAGGAACAAACUAGCUAGAAAUACUUUCAUAGAUGCCCCUAUGAACUAAUGCAUUAUGGAGAAGUGAGCUAAGGGGCUUAGAAAAGGAGAAAUAUCAUGAAUAUUAAACAGAAAUAUCAAAUUUCAUAAGGAGUUUUCAGUUUAUGUGUGUGCCUUUUAUUGUCUACACUAAAGCAGAACACAUUUCUCAUCCUUGUAAGAUGAGAGGAAGCUAAUGUAUAUGUGUGUUUAUGUGUAUGUGUGACUGUGUGUAUCUAUCUCUCUUUAUAUAGAUAUAGAUAGAUAAAUAUCAGAACUGAAUCACUUUCAUCACUCUAGAUAUUUUAUUUAAAUAACUUGACUUAAACAUACAUAAUCUCUCAAAGUUGCAAGUUCAUAUUUAUUUUAUUUUAUUUAAUCUCUUUGCUUUUUUCAGGCUUACACCCGUGGCAUAUGGAAGUUCCCAGGCUAGGGGUCAAAUCGGAGCUACACCAGCCUACACCAGAGCCAGAGCAAUGCCAGAUCCUUAAUCCAGUGAGCAAGGCCAGAGAUCAAACUUGCAUCCUCACGGAUACUAGUUGGAUUCAUUUCCACUGUACCACAAUGGGAACUCCCCAAGUUCAUUUUAAAGAAUAAUUUCACAAUAAUUUUAGCUUUAUAGAAGAGUUGCAAAGAUAGCAUAGCAUGUUUCUGUAUACACUUCACCCUGCUUCCUCUAAUGUUAACUUCUUAAAUAACCUCUACAUUUUUCAAAUUUAAGAAAUGAAUAUUAGUAUAAUACAGUUAACUAAACUAUAGUCUUUAUUCAAAUUUUCACUGUUCUUUUAUCAUUAUUUUUUCUCAGUACCUGGGAUACCACAUUACAUUUAGGCAUUCUCCUUGGUCUCUUCUGACCUGUGAUUAUUUCUUGGUCUUUCCUUAUCUUUCAUGACCUUGAUACCCUUGUAUCUAGUACACGUACUGGUCAAGUAUUUUGCGGAAUGCCCCUCCAUUUGUAUUUGCCUGAUGUUUUCUCAUGAGCAGAUUGAAGCGGAGAGUUUGAAGAAUACCACAGAGGUAUUAGGGGCAUAUGCUAUGAAAAUAACUUACUACUUGGUUGAGUUGAUGUGUGCUAGGUUUCUCCACUGAAAUUUGCAAUUACAUAUCUACUUUAAAAUCUCUGUGUUUUUUAAUGCAGGGGUUACCUAUAGGAUACAGUAAUUAUCAUUGAGCUACCUUGAAUUAUUAGUCAUGUUAGGUGAAUAGGAAGAGAUUAAUUUCAAUGACAUUGACAAAAGCACAUAAUGUGGAGAAAAUAUCCUUUGCCUCCUGAACAUUAUAAAUAAUAGAAUAUGUAGAAAAUCCCCAAUUAGCUUAAAUGCUACCUAGAAAUCAUCUUUUUUGACACAUUGCCUUUUUCUUUAUAGCAAUAUUAAGAAAUGGGAAAUGAGUCUUUUAUUACUCUCUUAACUUUUUGAACUUUGGCUCUUUUUUUUUUUUUUUCUCUUUUAAACACAUAACCAUUUAAUCAGUUCAUUUUGGCAACAUAAACAAGCUGAUAACAUUUGUCCUUUAAUCUGUCUCUUAUUUUGGUAUAUGUAGACAGACUCUUUUUAUUGUUUCUUGAGACCAUAAAGAGAAAAGCAAGGAUAUUGUAAAUGUGCAGAGGCAUGCCAGUCAGAUU